GAGCGGUAACAGGCGUAGCAAUACGUGCUGACGAGCGGCGAACGGGUGAGUAAUGCUUCNGGAAUCUACCCAGUAGUGGAGAAUAACCAGCCGAAAGGUUGGCUAAUACCGCAUACGUCCUACGGGAGAAAGCGGGGGAUCGUAAGACCUCGCGUUAUUGGAUGAGCCGAAGCCGGAUUAGCUAGUUGGUAGGGUAACGGCCUACCAAGGCGACGAUCCGUAGCUGGUCUGAGAGGACGACCAGCCACACUGGGACUGAGACACGGCCCAUACUCCUACGGGAGGCAGCAGUGGGGAAUAUUGGACAAUGGGGGAAACCCUGAUCCAGCGACGCCGCGUGUGUGAAGAAGGCCUGCGGGUUGUAAAGCACUUUUAGUGGGGACGAAAAGCCUAGGACUAACACUCCUGGGUCUUGACCUAACCCACAGAAAAAGCACCGGCUAACUCUGUGCCAGCAGCCGCGGUAAU
rnacentral:rRNA from 1 species